CGUAGGACAUCCUGUACCACCCUUUUCUGCAUCACUAACUUAUAUAAAAAGAUUGACAUACUUCGUACGUGGGUGCAAUUUCUGUUGUAAGUGAGAAGUUGGGAAAGUUGUAGACAGAAAAUUGAAUGUAUAUCUGUAAUCAACGCUAAAUCAUUGCUAACGAAAAAACAAUUCUGAGCGGAUUUCAGUUGAUAGUGUUGCUU